rnacentral:rRNA from 1 species
GAUGAACGCUGGCGGCGUGCCUAACACAUGCAAGUCGAACGCUGAAGCUUGGUGCUCGCAUUGGGUGGAUGAGUGGCGAACGGGUGAGUAAUACGUGAGUAACUUGCACUUGAGUCUGGGAUAAGCCUGGGAAACUGGGUCCAAUACAGGAUAUGACAGGUCACCGCAUGGAUGUGUGUGGCAAGGGCUUUACUGGGAUUGGAUGGGCUCACGGCCUAUUAGCUGGUUGGUGGGGUAAUGGCUCACCAAGGCGAAGACGGAUAGCCGGCCUGAGAGGGUGGACAGCCACACUGCGACUGAGGCACGGCCCAGACUGGUACGGGAGGCAACAGUGGAAAGUAUUGCACAGUGAGCGCGAGCCUGUUACGACGGCGCCGGGUGAGGGAUGACGGCCUUCGGGUUAUAAACCUCUUUCAGCACAGAAGAAGCGGAAGUGACGGUACGUACAGAAGAAGCGCCGGCUAACUACGUG